GAUGAACGCUAGCUACAGGCUUAACACAUGCAAGUCGCGGGGCAGCAUGGGGGUUGCUUGCACUCCCCGAUGGCGACCGGCGCACGGGUGAGUAACGCGUAUCCAACCUGCCCUUCACCACGGGAUAACCCGGCGAAAGUCGGACUAAUACCGUAUGUUGUCCAUUGACGGCAUCCGAUUUGGACGAAAGGUUUGGCGGUGAAGGAUGGGGAUGCGUCCGAUUAGCUGGACGGCGGGGUGACGGCCCACCGUGGCGACGAUCGGUAGGGGUUCUGAGAGGAAGGUCCCCCACACUGGAACUGAGACACGGUCCAGACUCCUACGGGAGGCAGCAGUGAGGAAUAUUGGUCAAUGGGCGUAAGCCUGAACCAGCCAAGUAGCGUGCAGGAUGACGGCCCUAUGGGUUGUAAACUGCUUUUAUGCGGGGAUAAAGUGGCCCACGUGUGGGUUUUUGCAGGUACCGCAUGAAUAAGGACCGGCUAAUUCCGU
rnacentral:rRNA from 1 species